rnacentral:rRNA from 1 species
GUGGGGAAUAUUGGACAAUGGGCGAAAGCCUGAUCCAGCCAUGCCGCGUGUGUGAAGAAGGUCUUCGGAUUGUAAAGCACUUUAAGUUGGGAGGAAGGGCAGUAAGUUAAUACCUUGCUGUUUUGACGUUACCGACAGAAUAAGCACCGGCUAACUUCGUGCCAGCAGCCGCGGUAAUACGAAGGGUGCAAGCGUUAAUCGGAAUUACUGGGCGUAAAGCGCGCGUAGGUGGUUUUGUAAGUUGGAGGUGAAAUCCCCGGGCUCAACCUGGGAACUGCAUCCAAAACUGCAUGACUAGAGUACGGUAGAGGGUAGUGUAAUUUCCUGUGUAGCGGUGAAAUGCGUAGAUAUAGGAAGGAACACCAGUGGCGAAGGCGACUACCUGGACUGAUACUGACACUGAGGUGCGAAAGCGUGGGGAGCAAACAGGAUUAGAUACCCUAGUAGUCC